UGUGACAGUUUUUCAAAGGUUCCCUGGUUUUGAUGACCUAGGCAGUUUUAAGGAGUACUGCUAGAAAUGUUUUUCUCAAUUGGAAUAUUUGUGAAAGUUUGUCAUGAGAUUAGAUUACAUUGAUAUAGUGUAAAUACUAAAACAGGCUUGAAUAUCUGGAAUAAAUCCCACUUGGUCUUGUUAUAUAAUUCAUUUCACACUUUGUUGGAUGUGUUGAGAAUUUUUGCCUGUAUUUUCUGUGAGAUACCAAUUCAUAGUUUUCUUUCUUCUAAUAACUUUAUCUGGGUAAUGUUGGCCCAUAGAAUGAAUAAGGAUUGAUCCCUUUGCUUUUAUUUUUUGAGAAGAUUACAAAAAAUAAAUAUGUUUUCAUGUUAAAUGUUUUAAAGAAUUCAUCAGUGAAAUUUGAGAUUCAUGCUCUCUUUUUGGAAGAUAUUCGAUUAUUGAUAAUUUUCUGUAGAUAAAGAGCUACCGAUAGUAUCUAUUUCUCCUUAUGUGAAUUUUGGCUUAAUUUGCUCUUCUUUGUCAAGAUUUCUAAUGCUGAGCUGAGCUAGUUGAUUUGUAUUCCUUUCCUUCUAAUGCAUAUAUUUAGGAGUACUUAAAGUAAAGAAGCAGGCGAUCAGAGAAGGGCUGGAGAGGAAGAGGCAAUAUGAUGAUGGAAGCAGAGAUUGGAGUUUUGUGCUUUGAAGAUAGAGAAAGUGUCCUUAGCCAAAGGAUACAGGCAGCCACUACCAGCUGGAAAGCCAAGGAGAUGGAGUCUGCCCUAGAGUCUCCUGAAGAAACCAGCCCUGCUGACACCUCGGCUUUGACACAGUGGAACAGAUUUCACACUUCUGGCCUCCAGAACAGAAACAGAAUAAAUUUAUGCUGUUUUAAGAACUAUGUUUGCGGUAAUUUGUUACAACUGCAACAGGAAACAA
rnacentral:lncRNA from 10 species